rnacentral:rRNA from 1 species
UAGUGUGGUAUGGCCAUCAUCUCAAAGUCUGAUCUCAGAAGCUCAGCAGGGUUGGGCCUGGUUAGUACUUAGAUGGGAGACCACCUAGGAAGACCAGGUGCUGUAGGAG